UUGUUGAGCCUUUUUAGGCUUUUCUAAUUGACUCAAAAGUUACCAAGCCACAAUCAAUAUGAAAUAAUGAACUAUGUAUACUAUAUAUUAGAUAUACCCCUUAUUUCAAAGUCAAUGGGAGUAAGAAUAAAGAUAACUUAUUUUCUUGUAGUGUCAAUUUUAAGUUCUCCUUUUCUUUAUUUUAAUGACAUCAAUAGUUAUAUUUUAACUUCUUUUUUUUUUGGUCAAGAGUUAUAUUUUAACUUUAAAUAUAGAACACUUGAUACUCACUAUGCCUCACAUGAAAUAACUUAGUUACUUUCACAUGUUCAGCUUCUCAUUAGAACACAUACUAGCAUUGUUCUAGUACUCAAGAAGAGUUGAAGCACUUGAUUUGCUCAUUACUUGUUUUAUGGGAUGCUCUUUAGUUACUAAUUGAUUACCACAAAAAUGUAAGUUGUAAUUGUUGUGGAUGAAAAAUACUUUAUAAAAUUGACACUAUUUUAUGAUUCUAGACUUUUGUUGAAGUUAGGAGGCUCAUGUUGGAUACUUGUUGCACUGAAUUUUUUUUUUCUUCUGGUGGUGUCAAUUAUAGUUAGAAAUUUAGCCUGGUGCAGUGUAUUUAUAUUGUAACAUUGUAUUCCUGCAUACUGUUGUCAUUGUUGUGGAUGAGAAGUACUUUAUUAAAUUGACAUUACUUUAUGAUGUUAGGUUUUUGUCAAGGUUAGGAUGCUCAUGUUGGAUAGAACUCCUUGUUCAAGUCAUUCAAAGCAUUAAAGCUCUAUCAACGUCAAUAUGUUCCAGCUGUAAAACAAGGUAGUCACAUCAAGUGAGAAGUU
rnacentral:lncRNA from 1 species